AGUGAACGCUGGCGGCGUGCUUAACACAUGCAAGUCGAACGAGAACGGAUUAUAGCUUGCUAUAAUUGUCAGCUAAGUGGCGCACGGGUGAGUAAUGUAUAGGUAAUAUGCCUCUUACUAAGGGAUAACAAAUGGAAACGUUUGCGAAUACCUUAUACUCCUUAUUAACAUAAGUUAAUAAGGGAAAGAUUUAUUGGUAAGAGAUUAGCCUGUAUUGUAUCAGUUAGUUGGUGGGGUAAUGGCUUACCAAGACUAUGACACAUAACUGGUUUGAGAGGAUGAUCAGUCACACUGGAACUGAGACACGGUCCAGACUCCUACGGGAGGCAGCAGUGGGGAAUAUUGCACAAUGGACGAAAGUCUGAUGCAGCAACGCCGCGUGGAGGAUGACACAUUUCGGUGCGUAAACUCCUUUUAUAUGAGAAGAUAAUGACGGUAUUAUAUGAAUAAGCACCGGCUAACUCCGUGCCAGCAGCAGCCGCAG
rnacentral:rRNA from 1 species